AAAAUGAAAGCAGGAUCUGAUUGGUUGCUAUGGGCAACUCAGCAACUUUUCCUCUGGACUGAUGCUGAAGUCAUUUACCGUUGCUGACGUCUAGAUCUGUAGGACAUAAACCAUGGAUCCUGUUGCAUUUAUGACCGGCAAUAAGCGGCCAUCAGCAGAAUGUCCUUUCCCGGGAGACCCUUUGAAGUUCUGACCCUUCUUUAUUGAGAAGAUAAUCUCUAGGUCUGGAUAAAAUCUUAAAAAGAUCUGCGUUUGGCCCUUGUAACCUUGCAGGGUAUCACAGAUUAGCAGAAUGUUUAGUUCCCUUUGAUGUGGUCUGACUGCAGGGAGAUGUCAGAGGUUUAGGAUAAGGUACAGGUCUCGAUGAAGAUGAUGAAGUAUAGUAAUGGGAGAACAAGAGGUGAAGAAUGAAAUGGCUCUGUCAUGGUCACCUGUGAGGCUGAAGAAUGCCGCUGUCAGUUUUGGGGCUGAGGGGCGAUUUGCGCACUUGAUGUGAGUUUUGUCCAUACGUCUCCCUGCAGCGCAACAGGACACAUUCUUUCUCGCUUUAUUUAAGGAAGCCAUACCCCAGCCUCUUCUGUGGUCCGAUGACCAUUAUCCACUUGAAGAUUACACGUACUACCCCCCCCCCCCCACAUGGACACCUUG